rnacentral:rRNA from 1 species
GAUGAACGCUAGCGGCAGGCCUAACACAUGCAAGUCGAGGGAGAGGUUGCCUUCGGGUAACCAAAACCGGCGCACGGGUGCGUAACGCGUAUACAAUCUGCCUUUCACAUAGGGAUAGCCCGAAGAAGUUUGGAUUAAUACCUAAUGGUAUAUAAGAGCGGCAUCGUUUUUAUAUUAAAGCUACGGUGGUGAAAGAUGAGUAUGCGUUCUAUUAGCUAGUUGGAGAGGUAACGGCUCCCCAAGGCGACGAAAGAUAGGGGUUCUGAGAGGGAUGUCCCCCCACUGGUACUGAGAUACGGACCAGACUCCUACGGGAGGCAGCAGUGAGGAAUAUUGGACAAUGGUCGGAAGACUGAUCCAGCCAUGCCGCGUGCAGGAUGAAGGUCCUAUGGAUUGUAAACUGCUUUUGUAAGGGAAGAAUAAGGAGUACGUGUACUUUGAUGACGGUACCUUACGAAUAAGCAUCGGCUAACUCCGUG